GACCAAUGCCUUAUCAAUACAGACUUUCCAUCCUCUCUUCGUUUCUAACCAUUGUGCAGUGCGAAGAGAGACCCCGGCGCAGGCCAGGCGGCGCGUGUCACUCGGCCUGAAUUGCACGGUAAUCGCCAAAACCUUGGCCUAAUUUGCAGCUAAUGGAUCUCGAGCGAGGCAGUCGGGAAGAAACCAGUGACUUUGGAGGGAUCGGAAAUUAAGGGACUGGAAAGAGGAUGUGAUUCAUAUCAUUCUCCUCCUCCCCCUCCUGCACACAACCCUGUGUCUCCCGGCUGGGCCUUUGGGGACACGGCCCCUAGCUCUCCACGGCCUGUGCUCCUGUUGUUCGCUUCUCUCCCUGCGGACCACUGUGUCCAGGGCGCCCUUCCGUGUGCUCAGACCCCGCGCCCUCCGACCGGCUUCUUUCAGUCCCCGGGAGGAGGCGCUGGUGCCCGGGUCGGCCUCUGGUCCCUCCCAGCCGACUUCCUGGAGCCCCCAUUCACAAAGCCCCUCUUGGAAGAGGCGACACACACACACACACACACACACACACACCGCACUACGAGAAGGGGAGUUUGAUCUUGUCUCAUUGGCGUCUCGGGUCUGAAAGGAAAAUCGUUUGGGUAAACAGCCAAGCUUCCAGGCUUAACGCCCGGCUCCCGCCCCCGCCCCUCCAUCCCCACCAGCUUCCCCCACUCCCCUUCAACCCCACCCGCCACCCACACUCGGCUCCGCAGCCAGGCCCCGAGCAAGCUCCGGGCCUCCAGGCGGGAGCCGAGGGCUCCCGGGGUUCAAAGGGCCGCAGCCCCGAGGGAACGCCCUUCUUGCCGUGCUCCUGGGGGCAGAAGCGGACUGCUGGGCGGUGGGACCGGCCUGGGCCACGCUCCGCGCCCCUCCCAGCCUUCCCGCCCUCAGCCGGGAAAGGACUCUGAGAUGACAUCACCACAGAGACCCGCGGCCUCCCCGCCCCCGGCCCCGGGACCCCGGAGCGGAGAUUGACAGGUGUCGCUCGCGAGGACAAUGCCUUCCAGCCCGGGCUUAAUAAUUCUGACUUUUGAAAUCUCCUGUCAUGAAUGAAUCUACACUGCACUCUAUUUCUUGCCCUGCCCUGGAAUUCAGCCAUUCCUGCACUGCAUUUCUUAAGGUGAAGAAGUGAAAGAGGAAGACCAAUCCAAUUGAACAUGUAUUAUUCUCUUCCAUAAUGCUAUUGUAUUAUAUUCUCUUUCCAUUUAUUUAUUUUUUUAUUCUUCUGAUUUCUCUGCACAAAAGAGGGAAAUUCAUCCAAAGCUAUGGAAAGUUUCCUUGAAAGAUUUUUAUCGAGUCACACUUACAUACAGUGCAAUGUGCGUCUCUUACAGCAUUAUACAGUUUGGGAUUUGUUUUUAACCCCAUGAGAAAUGCCGUAUCAGUGCUUUGGCAUAUAUUUGUUCCAAUUUCUACAUUGGUUGGGGAGGGGGAGAAGCUUUCUUUUUAUUAAAUAAAAUACACAUCUGUUUCAUUAAAUAGACACUUCAAGCAUGAGUUGCUAAUGGAACGAAAAUAUAAAUAAAACAUGGAACUAUCCAAAUGCUACAUGUUCUCCACAUUUGCCCCCAAAAUGUGCCUCAUCUCCCUGUACCUCCAAAUAAUAUUUCUAAUGUUUUCAUUUUAUUAGUUUUGCAAUGUCACUCACUGUCAAGGUAGAAUUACUGGAUGGCUUAAGACGACUUUUGUAAAAUUUUCAAAUCCUAAAUUAAAAAAUCAUCUUUCAAUA